rnacentral:tRNA from 1 species
UUCAUUGGCAGAUUAAUGCAUUAGAAUUAGAAUCUAAUUACCU